rnacentral:rRNA from 1 species
UAGGGAAUCUUCGGCAAUGGGCGCAAGCCUGACCGAGCAACGCCGCGUGAAUGAUGAAGGCUUUCGGGUCGUAAAAUUCUGUUAUCAGGGAAGAAAAGUCUGGACAGGAAAUGGUCUAGAUGUGACGGUACCUGAUGAGAAAGCCACGGCUAACUACGUGCCAGCAGCCGCGGUAAUACGUAGGUGGCAAGCGUUAUCCGGAAUUAUUGGGCGUAAAGAGCGCGCAGGUGGUUGAGAAAGUCUGAUGUGAAAGCCCACGGCUUAACCGUGGAGGGUCAUUGGAAACUGCUUGACUUGAGUGCAGAAGAGGGAAGUGGAAUUCCAUGUGUAGCGGUGAAAUGCGUAGAGAUAUGGAGGAACACCAGUGGCGAAGGCGGCUUCCUGGUCUGUAACUGACACUGAGGCGCGAAAGCGUGGGGAGCAAACAGGAUUAGAUACCCGCGUAGUCC